rnacentral:rRNA from 1 species
UACGUAGGGUGCGAGCGUUAAUCGGAAUUACUGGGCGUAAGCGUGCGCAGGCGGUUCGUUAUGUCCGAUGUGAAAGCCCCGAGCUCAACUUGGGAAUGGCAUUGGAAACUGGCGGGCUGGAGUGUGGCAGAGGGGGGUGGAAUUCCACGUGUAGCAGUGAAAUGCGUAGAGAUGUGGAGGAACACCGAUGGUGAAGGCAGCCCCCU